CAGUAGCCACGGGAAAACCAGCACCUCGAGUGGUCAGGAGGUUUAUUGGGCCUAAAGCAUCCGUAGCCGGUUGCAUAAGUUUUCGGUUAAAUCUAUGCGCUUAACGUAUAGGCCGCCGAAAAUACUGUGCAGCUAGGGAGUGGGAGAGGUACACGGUACUCGAUAGGAAGGGGUAAAAUCCUUUGAUCUAUUGAUGACCACCUGUGGCGAAGGCGGUGUACCAGAACACGUUCGACGGUGAGGGAUGAAAGCUGGGGGAGCAAACCGGAUUAGAUACCCCCGUAGUCCCUGUCUCUUAUAC
rnacentral:rRNA from 1 species